CAGUCAUACCGAUGAGCAUUCAGCCUUUUGGGUGCGAUUAUGUGGUACGUGGAAAGAUUUCACGGUUGCAUUUUCGUGCCUUUUGGGUGUACUUGUUCGUAUGGUAGGUUACAUCAUUUCGGUUAUCAUAAAAUGACGGGAGGAAUGUAGCUUCUCCGAAAGUGUUAUAGCCUCUGGUAGAUGUGAUGAUCGGGAUUUGAGGAUUGCAACGAACCCUCUGGGGUCUACUCGUCUGGCCUCUGGUGGUCGCUCUGGUUCCCGAAAGCUUGCUUACAGUAGUCAGAGUUUGGUUUGCCAAAGGUUAGAACGGUAUGAUUUCUUUA
rnacentral:rRNA from 1 species